UGGGGAAUCUUGCGCAAUGGGCGAAAGCCUGAUCCAGCCAUGCCGCGUGCAGGAAGAAGGCGUUAUGCGUUGUAAACUGCUUUUUGCCAGGGGAUAAAAAGACCGUGCGCGGUUAAUUGAAGGUACCUGGUGAAUAAGCCACGGCUAACUACGUGCCAGCAGCCGCGGUAAUACGUAGGUGGCAAGCGUUGUCCGGAUUUAUUGGGUUUAAAGGGUGCGUAGGUGGCCCUGUAAGUCAGUGGUGAAAUAUCUCAGCUUAACUGAGAGGGUGCCAUUGAUACUGCAGGGCUUGAGUACAGAUGAGGUAGGCGGAAUUGACGGUGUAGCGGUGAAAUGCAUAGAUAUCGUCAAGAACACCGAUAGCGAAGGCAGCUUACCAAGCUGUAACUGACACUGAGGCACGAAAGUGUGGGGAUCAAACAGGAUUAGAUACCCCAGUAGUCCCUGAGCGGGCUGGCAAGGCGCAU
rnacentral:rRNA from 1 species